AGAAGGGAAAUACAGACACUUUUUGCUUAUGGGCUGACUCUAUAUGGAGAGAUUUAAACACCCGACAUCUGCUUGGGAAGAUCUAUAAAGAGAUCUAUAUCACCCAAAGCAGGAGACAAUAAACAAAAGAUAUAUGGCAAAAGAAUGCACUAUGAAUAUCUGAAUGUUUUAUGAAUAUGCAUGAAUAUGUGUGGUUUAUGUUUGAUGAAUGCUGAC
rnacentral:lncRNA from 1 species